GCAUACCAUAAGACCUUACGGCACAUAGAAACUUAACAGUGAAAAUAAAAAGGCAGCAAUGAGAUGCUGAACAAGACACAGUAAGUUUUUGUUUGUUUGUUUGUUUUCUGCUCUCAUUAAAGAAUUUGUUCAAAAUAAUUUUAUCUGAAUGGAGGAGUGCGAUGAGGGGAGCUUGACUAAAGGUUGAACGUUCAUUUCCUGACACUGUUGAAUGUUCUGAAGUCUUUUGCCAUCAUGCACUGGAAUUAAAUAAAGUACUUUAUGAUGUAUUCUCAGAAGUUGACUGUGUCAAAAUGUCUCUUUCCAGACUAAAUCAUGCACUCUGUAGAAAAUACACACAGCAUAUUUCCUUGUGGCUGGAGCUCUGUGCUGCUAAAAAGCCCCGUGCCUGCCCUUGUUGUCUCUGCCUUAGAAUGUGGGUUACUGUCACAGGCUGCUCUGAGCCAGGGAGGACAGGAGGUUGAAUUUGUUUCUCGUACACAGAAGUAGGAGUAUCACAUUAAGUGAUUACUUGAGAAAACCUGUUUCGCCAAGCAAAAAUCAGUGAGGUUUUGACACAGUGCGCUUUAGGACAGUGACCACUAGCACCCACUUUAUGCUCACACCAUUUGUGUAAGCUAUUAGCUUGUUUCUGAAAGAACAGCUCUCUGCUGAAGCUCUCUAAUGAAAGUAGGAAACAAAUGCAUUUUCUUUAGUCUGGGCAUUUUUCAGUGAAGAAAUAAAUAAAAGUUUUACAAUUCUUUUUCAUGGCAGGCCACCAGAUUUGGUUUAUUUUGUAUAUAUUUAUGUGCAUACAUCAAUAUGAGAUAAAUAAGGUGCCAGAAGUGGACCUUACCACAGAAGCAUGCCUGUCUUAAGUCCACAGAGCAGCAAGAGAGUUCCUACCCUCAGUAAACAGUCCACCUCACUAUCCAAUCGUCCAGACCACAAUCUUAGCUGCAAGGAUGCUGUGGGAGAUGGUGUCAAAGGCUUUACUGAAAUCAAAAUAUGCCACGUCCACUGCCUCUCCAUCAUCUAUCCAUCCGGUUAUAUCCUCAUAAAAGGCUAUCAGGUUGGUCAAGCAUGGCUUCCCCUUGGUGAAGGCAUGUUGACUGUCCCUAAUGACCUUUUUAUCUUUGAUAUGUCUAGGAACAACUGUCGUGGUUCCGCUCGAGUGGGCAGCCGAGCUCCACCACAGCCGCUCUCUCACUCCCCCUCCUCAAAGAGGAAUGGGGAGAAAAUAUGUGAAAGGGGCUCAAGGAUUGAGAUAAGGACGAGAAAAUCACGCAAUAAUUAGUGUAACGGGCAAACCAGACUCAGCAUAAGAAGACAGAUAGUAAGAUUUAUUGCUCAUUACUAACAAGCUAGAGAAGUGAGAAACAAAGGAAAGAAACCAAAAGCACCUCCCCCCCCAUCCACCCUCUUCCACCUCCUCCCCCCGAGCGGCGCAGGGGAACGGGGGAAUGGGGGUUAUGGUCAGUCUACAGCACUUCUUCUCUGCCGCUCCUUCUCGGUCACUCUCGUCCCCUGUGCUGUGGGGUCCCACCCACGGGAUGCAGUCCUUGACGAACUGAUCCGGCGUGGGCUUCCCACAGGCAGCAGCU
rnacentral:lncRNA from 1 species